rnacentral:rRNA from 1 species
UACGGAGGGGGCUAGCGUUGUUCGGAAUUACUGGGCGUAAAGCGCACGUAGGCGGAUCAGCCAGUCAGGGGUGAAAUCCCGGGGCUCAACCCCGGAACUGCCCUUGAUACUGCUGGUCUGGAGUUCGAGAGAGGCGAGUGGAAUUCCGAGUGUAGAGGUGAAAUUCGUAGAUAUUCGGAGGAACACCAGUGGCGAAGGCGGCUCGCUGGCUCGACACUGACGCUGAGGUGUGAAAGCGUGGGGAGCAAACAGGAUUAGAUACCCUGGUA